CUGACCUGCCCAAUGAGGGAUUCAAUGGCCGCAGUAUUUUAACUGUGCUAAGGUAGCAUAAUCAUUUGUCUUUUAAUUGAGGGCUGGAAUGAAAGGUUGGACGAGAUAUUAACUUUCUUUAGUUUAAUUUUAAGAAUUUAAUUUUUGAGUUAAAAAGCUUAAAUUUAUUUGUUGGACGAGAAGACCCUAUAGAUCUUUAUAAUUUUAUAUUUUGAUAAUUUGGUGAUUUUAUUUAUUGUAAGUAGAAGAAUUAUUUUGUUGGGGUGACUGUAGAAUUUUAUUAACUUCUAUUAUUUUUAUUUCAUUGAUUGAUGUUUUUUUGAUCCAUAUAUUUAUGAU
rnacentral:rRNA from 1 species